GAAGGGCUGGUUUAGUGGUCAUGAACUCCUUUAGUUUUUGUUUGGCUGGGAAACUCUAUCUUUCCUUCUGUUCUGAAUGAUAGCCUUCCUAGAUAGAGUAUUCUUGGCUACAAUUUUUUCCCAUUCACACGUUGAGUAUAUCAUGCGACUCCCUUCUUGCUUGGAAAGUUUCUGUUGAAAAAUCCCCUAAUAGCCUUAUGAGGGUUCUCUUGUUUGUUACUGUCUACUUUUGUCUUGCUGUUUUUAAAAUAUCUCUUUUUAUCACUAUAUUUUAACAAUUAUAUAUCUUGGAGCGAAUCUGCUUUUGUUGAUUUUGUUGGGGGUUCCCUGUGCCUCCUGCAUCUGGAUAUGUUUCCUUUCCCAGAUUAGGGAAGUGUUCAGCUUUAUUUCUUCAAAUACAUUUUCUGUCCCCUUACUUUCUUCUAGGAUGCCUAUAAUGUGAAUAUUACUAUGCUUGAUGGAGUCACUGAGUUCCCUGAGUGCCUUCUUGUUUUGCAUAAGUCUUUUUUUCUCCCUUUUGUUCAGUUUGAUUACUUUUUGUUACUCUGUCUUCUAGGUCAUUAUGUUCCCCUGCUUCUUCCAGCCUGCCAUUCAUUCUGUUAAGUGUGUUUCUCAUUUGUUUAUUGAACAAUUUAUCUCUGUUACUCCUUAUCUCUGUGUUAAGGGUCUCACUCAUGUCUUCCACUCUUUUCUCAAGCCCAGUAAGUAUCCUUAUGAUCACUGCUUUCAAUACUCCCAUCAGGCAUGUUACUUAUAUUUGUUUUGCUUAGGUCUUCAGCUGUGGCCUUGUCCUGUUGCUUCAUUUGGGAUAAAUUCCUCUGUCUCCUCAUUUUGCUUAUGUCUCUGUGCCUGUUUCUGUUUGUUAGGCAAGUCAGCUGAGUCUCCUGUUCUUGAGGGGAAUGGCCUCAUGAAGAAGAGGUGUGUAGUGCCCUGCAGUAUAGUGUCACCUGUUCCCCAGGACCUGGUGCUUCCGGGAGUGCCUCUAAGAUGCAUACUGAAGUAUUCACUGGUAAAAUGAUAUCUGGGAUUUGCUGCAAAAUACUUCAGCAGAGAAAACCAAAAAGGAAGAGGGGAAGAGCAGAAUGUUGACACCUGCUGAAGCCGAUGAACAGAUGCUCUUUGAAAAUUCUCGCUAUCUUUGUAUUUGUAAAAUUUUCAUAAUAAAUUUUAAAUUUAAUAAUCCCA